AGGCCUAAUUGAUGAUGUGGUCCCUUAAGUUAUUUGUUGGUUACAUUUUAGUCCCAUAAAUUAUUAACGUUACCAUUUGGUCCCUUUAAGCUAUUUUCCGUCAACCAAAUAAAUCCCCACCGUCAAAACCGUUAACUCAAUGUCUAAAGUGGAUACACAUUGUAAGUUGUCACAUCACCGUUCACAUGUGCCUAUUUAAUGUUUUGGCAAAAGACUGACGUUGAGGAUUUAUUUGGCUAACAAAUACUAACUUAAGGGACCAAAUUGUAACGUUAAUAAUUUAUGGGACCAAAAUGUAACCAAUAAAUAACUUAAGGGACCAAAUCAUUAAUUAAGCCU
rnacentral:lncRNA from 1 species